rnacentral:snoRNA from 1 species
GUCAAUGGCUGGGACAGUGUUACACUGUUGGAAGAGCAAGCGCUGCCCAGUGAGGUCUGGCUGCACACACUGUUUUAGUGUUGUGGUCGCAUAAGCUCUGGUUACAUCUAAGCAUGAUGUGUAAACU